CGGAUGUAGCUCAGUUGGUAGAGCGCCGGUUUGUGGUACCGGUGGUCGCGGGUUCGAAUCCCGUCAUUC
rnacentral:tRNA from 3 species